rnacentral:rRNA from 1 species
GAUGAACGCUGGCGGCGUGGCUAAGGCAUGCAAGUUGAAUGCUUAUCUUCGGAUAAGCAUGGCAAACGGGAGAGUAACACAUUGGUAAUCUGCCCUGAGGACGAGAAUAACCCGAAGAAAUUCGGAAUAAUACUCGAUAAUAGUGGGGGGUCAAAAGACAUUCCCACUUAAAGCUCCGACGCCUCGGGAGGAGCCUAUGUCCUAUCAGUUUGUUGGUGAGGUAAAAGCUCACCAAGACUACGACGGGUACCGGGUGUGAGAGCAUUACCCGGCUCACUGGGACUGAGACACUGCCCAGACUCCUACGGGAGGCUGCAGUCACGAAUCUUCCUCAAUGGCCGAAAGGCUGAAGGAGCGACGCCGCGUGCAUGAAGACGCCCCUCGGGGUGUAAAGUGCUUUUAUUAGGGAUGAACUAAUGACAGUACCUAAUGAAUAAGGGGCUGCUAAACUCG